UACGUAGGGUGCGAGCGUUGUCCGGAAUACUGGGCGUAAAGCGUGCGCAGGCGGUUUUGUAAGUCUGUCGUGAAAUCCCCGGGCUUAACCUGGGAACUGCAUUUGUGACUGCAUCGCUGGAGUGCGGCAGAGGGGGAUGGAAUUCCGCGUGUAGCAGUGAAAUGCGUAGAUAUGCGGAGGAACACCGAUGGCGAAGGCAAUCCCCUGGGCCUGCACUGACGCUCAUGCACGAAAGCGUGGGGAGCAAACAGG
rnacentral:rRNA from 1 species